rnacentral:rRNA from 1 species
UUUUACUAAAAUAGCUUAUAGUAUUAAGAUCCCGAAAGUAGAAGAGCUAAUAAGAUAAUUUUCUUAGAACUUUCCUUUAUCUGUAGCAUAAGAUUAGGUUUAAUUUCUAUUAGGGGCGAAACACCUUCAAUUCUACUGAUAACUGGAUGGGGGUUAAAUACAUUUAGUGUAUAAAUAAAAUCUGUAAAGUGAUUAGAAUUUACAGGUAAAACUUCUUCUUCAUACUUAUAGUUAUUAUAUUAAAGUAUAAUUAAAUGAUUCUUAACUUAGAUAAUUACUCGAGGAUAAUAAUUUUAAAGUAGCUCCCCCUCCCUCAUAAUACUAUUUCUGGUUUGAUAAUGUAAAAAUUAGUAGUAAUGUAGAAUACCUUUUAAGGAACUCGACAAAUUUUACUCUUUGACUGUUUAACAAAAACAUAGCGACACGAUAGUGAUGUGUGGUGUAAUCUGCCCAGUGAACUAUUUUAACGGCCGCAGUACUUUGACUGUGCUAAGGUAGCAUAAUAAUUUGGCUUUUAAUUGAGGUCUGGUAUGAACGAAUAGACAAAGAGAAAUUGUCUCUAAGGGCUGCUAAAUAAAUUGAUUAAGGAGUGAAAAUACUCCUAGUACUAUAAAUAGACGAGAAGACCCUAAGAAUUUUAAGACAUAAAUAUGAAAUUAUAUUAAUGCUUUUUGUUGGGGCAACAAUUUUUCAGGUAAUUAAAUAAAGAUACUAUAAGGAGAUAUACCGAUUCAAUAUUUAAAUGUAAAUUACCUUAGGGAUAACAGCACUAUUUAUUAUAAGCUUGUGACCUCGAUGUUGGACUAGGGACAAUUAAUGCUAAUCGCAUUAGUUGAUUGUUCUGUUCGAACACUUAAUUACCUACAUGAUCUGAGUUCAGACCGG